rnacentral:rRNA from 1 species
AUUGAACGCUGGCGGCAGGCCUAACACAUGCAAGUCGAACGGUAGCACAGAGAGCUUGCUCUCGGGUGACGAGUGGCGGACGGGUGAGUAAUGUCUGGGAAACUGCCUGAUGGAGGGGGAUAACUACUGGAAACGGUAGCUAAUACCGCAUAACGUCGCAAGACCAAAGAGGGGGACCUUCGGGCCUCUUGCCAUCAGAUGUGCCCAGAUGGGAUUAGCUAGUAGGUGGGGUAACGGCUCACCUAGGCGACGAUCCCUAGCUGGUCUGAGAGGAUGACCAGCCACACUGGAACUGAGACACAGUCCAGACUCCUACGGGAGGCAGCAGUGGGGAAUAUUGCACAAUGGGCGCAAGCCUGAUGCAGCCAUGCCGCGUGUAUGAAGAAGGCCUUCGGGUUGUAAAGUACUUUCAGCGGGGAGGAAGGUGUUGAGGUUAAUAACCUCAGCAAUUGACGUUACCCGCAGAAGAAGCACCGGCUAACUCUGUGCCAGCCGCCGCCGUAACAC